GACGAACGCUGGCGGCGUGCCUAAUACAUGCAAGUAGAACGCUGAAGGAGGAGCUUGCUUCUCUGGAUGAGUUGCGAACGGGUGAGUAACGCGUAGGUAACCUGCCUGGUAGCGGGGGAUAACUAUUGGAAACGAUAGCUAAUACCGCAUAAGAGUAGAUGUUGCAUGACAUAUGCUUAAAAGGUGCAAUUGCACCACUACCGGAUGGACCUGCGUUGUAUUAGCUAGUUGGUGAGGUAACGGCUCACCAAGGCAACGAUACAUAGCCGACCUGAGAGGGUGAUCGGCCACACUGGGACUGAGACACGGCCCAGACUCCUACGGGAGGCAGCAGUAGGGAAUCUUCGGCAAUGGACGGAAGUCUGACCGAGCAACGCCGCGUGAGUGAAGAAGGUUUUCGGAUCGUAAAGCUCUGUUGUAAGAGAAGAACGAGUGUGAGAGUGGAAAGUUCACACUGU
rnacentral:rRNA from 1 species